GAGUUGCUUCGACGAAGUCACACACCCACGGAGGGAAGUAAUCUGGAGGCUGCCUUGCGUUGCCUGAGGGAAGGACAUUAACUCUCCAAAACCUGUAAUUUGUCCUUUUUUGAAUUCAAGCAAGUCUCAAGGUGACAAUAGUCCUCAGGCAGACAAGAAGGAAUAAGGGUUUGAGAUGAAUGGCUACAGCUGAGAGUAUGC
rnacentral:lncRNA from 10 species